rnacentral:rRNA from 1 species
CGGAGGGUGCAAGCGUUAUCCGGAUUUAUUGGGUUUAAAGGGUCCGUAGGCGGAUCCGUAAGUCAGUGGUGAAAUCUCACAGCUUAACUGUGUAACUGCCAUUGAUACUGCGGGUCUUGAGUAAGGUAGAAGUGGCUGGAAUAAGUAGUGUAGCGGUGAAAUGCAUAGAUAUUACUUAGAACACCAAUUGCGAAGGCAGGUCACUAUGUCUUAACUGACGCUGAUGGACGAAAGCGUGGGGAGCGAACAGGAUUAGAUACCCUGGUAGUCCACGCCGUAAACGAUGCUAACUCGUUUUGGGCUUUCGGGUUCAGAGACUAAGCGAAAGUGAUAAGUUAGCCACCUGGGGAGUACGUUCGCAAGAAUG